AGUGAACGCUGGCGGUAGGCCUAACACAUGCAAGUCGAACGGCAGCACAUUAAGAGCUUGCUCUUACGGGUGGCGAGUGGCGGACGGGUGAGGAAUACAUCGGAAUCUACUUUUUCGUGGGGUAUAACGUAGGGAAACUUACGCUAAUACCUCAUACGACCUACGGGUGAAAGCAGGGGAUCUUCGGACCUUGCGCGAUUGAAUGAGCCGAUGUCGGAUUAGCUAGUUGGCGGGGUAAAGGCCCACCAAGGCGACGAUCCGUAGCUGGUCUGAGAGGAUGAUCAGCCACACUGGAACUGAGACACGGUCCAGACUCCUACGGGAGGCAGCAGUGGGGAAUAUUGGACAAUGGGCGCAAGCCUGAUCCAGCCAUACCGCGUGGGUGAAGAAGGCCUUCGGGUUGUAAAGCCCUUUUGUUGGGAAAGAAAAGCAGCAGGUUAAUACCCCGCUGUUCUGACGGUACCCAAAGAAUAAGCACCGGCUAACUUCGUG
rnacentral:rRNA from 1 species